CGCGGCCUAUCAGCUUGUUGGUGAGGUAACGGCUCACCAAGGCAUCGACGGGUAGCUGGUCUGAGAGGACGAUCAGCCGCACUGGGACUGAGACACGGCCCAGACUCCUACGGGAGGCAGCAGUAGGGAAUCUUGCGCAAUGGGCGAAAGCCUGACGCAGCAACGCCACGUGGGGGACGAAGGCCCUCGGGUUGAACCCCUUUCAGCAGGGACGAAAAUGACGGUACCUGCAGAAGAAGCCCCGGCCAACUACGUGCCAGCAGCCGCGGUAAUACGUAGGGGGCAAGCGUUGUCCGGAUUUAUUGGGCGUAAAGAGCUCGUAGGCGGUUCGGUAAGUCGGGUGUGAAAAUCCAAGGCUCAACCUUGGGACGCCACCCGAUACUGCUGUGACUAGAGUCCGGUAGAGGAGUGUGGAAUUCCUGGUGUAGCGGUGAAAUGCGCAGAUAUCAGGAGGAACACCUGCGGCGAAGGCGGCACUCUGGGCCGGUACUGACGCUGAGGAGCGAAAGCAUGGGGAGCAAGCAGGAUUAGAUACCCUGGUAGUCCAUGCCGUAAACGUUGGGCACUAGGUAUGGGGUCUUAUCAACGGAUUCCGUGCCGUAGCUAACGCAUUAAGUGCCCCGCCUGGGGAGUACGG
rnacentral:rRNA from 1 species